ACGAACGCUGGCGGCGUGCUUAACACAUGCAAGUCGAACGAUGAAGCCUUUCGGGGUGGAUUAGUGGCGAACGGGUGAGUAACACGUGGGCAAUCUGCCCUUCACUCUGGGACAAGCCCUGGAAACGGGGUCUAAUACCGGAUAACACUCUGUCCUGCAUGGGACGGGGUUAAAAGCUCCGGCGGUGAAGGAUGAGCCCGCGGCCUAUCAGCUUGUUGGUGGGGUAAUGGCCUACCAAGGCGACGACGGGUAGCCGGCCUGAGAGGGCGACCGGCCACACUGGGACUGAGACACGGCCCAGACUCCUACGGGAGGCAGCAGUGGGGAAUAUUGCACAAUGGGCGAAAGCCUGAUGCAGCGACGCCGCGUGAGGGAUGACGGCCUUCGGGUUGUAAACCUCUUUCAGCAGGGAAGAAGCGAAAGUGACGGUACCUGCAGAAGAAGCGCCGGCUAACUACGUGCCAGCAGCCGCGGUAAUACGUAGGGCGCAAGCGUUGUCCGGAAUUAUUGGGCGUAAAGAGCUCGUAGGCGGCUUGUCACGUCGGAUGUGAAAGCCCGGGGCUUAACCCCGGGUCUGCAUUCGAUACGGGCUAGCUAGAGUGUGGUAGGGGAGAUCGGAAUUCCUGGUGUAGCGGUGAAAUGCGCAGAUAUCAGGAGGAACACCGGUGGCGAAGGCGGAUCUCUGGGCCAUUACUGACGCUGAGGAGCGAAAGCGUGGGGAGCGAACAGGAUUAGAUACCCUGGUAGUCCACGCCGUAAACGUUGGGAACUAGGUG
rnacentral:rRNA from 1 species